rnacentral:rRNA from 1 species
GACAGAGGCCCCAAGCGUUAGGCGGAAUCACUGGGCUUAAAGCGUGUGUAGGCGGCCUUCUAAGUGCCUUGUGAAAUCCCACGGCUCAACCGUGGAACUGCUGGGCAUACUGGGAGUCUUGGGCCAUUCAGGGGCAACUGGAACAAGCGGUGGAGCGGUGAAAUGCGUAGAUAUCGCGUGGAACGCCGAAGGUGAAAACAGGUUGCCGGGGAUGUGCCGACGCUGAGACACGAAAGCCAGGGGAGCAAACGGG